GAGGUGCACCUAGGAACAAUUUGCCAACUCUAGUUUUAGACAGUAUUAUAAAAUGACAGAGUAAAUUAUAUUGGGAAAGGUACUGAUAGAAAUCUGUUACAAUUCAGUUGUGUGUAAUUGCUUAUUUUCUUGCUCAAUUACCUCUUACAAGAAGGUUCAGUUCAGAGAACAAUACAGAUUCUGGAAAUAGGUUUUUAAGCACUACAAACCCAUACAAAGAAGGGGAGACAGAGAUGGCUGGCAUAGUUCCUUGUUUCCUACAUUAAGAUCUUGUAUUUGAUAUCCCAGCCAUGUGCCCUCUCUCUUGCAGCAGCUCUGACUGGCUUUGGCUCUCAAGACUCAGUCUUUGUUCUAGCUGUUGGGAGUUACUCUUGUUUCUCACCCUUUUUCUUCCAGAGGCCUGGGUUAAUCCCAUCUGUCUGCUUGUGCUUCACCCUCCUUAUCUGGACUCUUUUGAUGAUGGUGAUCACUGGGCUGGUGAAACUGUGUCUUUGUUCAAAUUAGCAUUUGCUGCAAUUGGAAAGCACAGAAGAAUUUGUUGCAUGUGAAGUUACUAUCACAGUAUUUCUGGGUUUGCUUUUGCUUUAAGACUGUUACUUAAUAGUUUCAGUGGCAAUAUGAUAUGUUUCUGCUAUGAAGCUAUUUUCUGUUUUCCUUAUGCAAUUUGAAAAAAAAAUCUUCUGAGGGACCAAAUAGAUUUUUUUUGUGUGUGUGUCCCAAUAAAAUUUUAUUUAUAAGAACAGGUAGCAGGCUGGAUUUGACUUGCAAGUAGUAUUUUAUGUUGCCUGAUUAACACUUAAUGUAAUUAUCGAUAUGGCUGGAUUUCAAGAGUACUAAUAUUUUUUAUGCUUUUUUUUUUCCUGGUUGGUUUGUUCCCUUUCUCCCUUUUCUGCCUUCUAAUGGAUGAUUUGGCUUUUUAAAAAAUCAUAUUAUUUUAUCUAUUGACUUUUUGGUUAUAUCUUUUUGUUUUGUUUUGUUUUAGUGGUUACUAUGAGGAUCACAAUAUGCAUAUUUAAACUUCUAUACUUAAUUGGAGUUAAAUUCACUAAUCUUAGAUCUUUUGGUAUGUCCCACAGUUCCUUGAGGUUUUGGUCAGUUUUUUAAACAUUUUUUUCCUUUUUCCUCUCGAAUAUUCCUGUAAAUAAUGUUUGUUUUUACUAACUCUUUUUUUUAUGUCGACUUCAUUCUGUUUAUGAAAACUAAAU
rnacentral:lncRNA from 1 species